rnacentral:rRNA from 1 species
CUUCCUACGGGGGGCAGCAGUGGGGGAUAUUGGACAAUGGGGGGAACCCUGAUCCAGCGACGCCGCGUGAGUGAAGAAGUAUUUCGGUAUGUAAAGCUCUGUCAGCAGGGAAGAAAGCAAUGACGGUACCUGACCAAGAAGCCCCGGCUAACUACGUGCCAGCAGCCGCGGUAAUACGUAGGGGGCAAGCGUUAUCCGGAAUUACUGGGUGUAAAGGGAGCGUAGACGGCUGUGCAAGUCUGGAGUGAAAGGCGGGGCCCCAACCCCGGACUGCUCUGGAAACU